rnacentral:rRNA from 1 species
UACAGAGGUGCCCAAGCGUUGUUCGGAUUCAUUGGGCGUAAAGGGUGCGUAGGUGGCGUCGUAAGUCGGGUGUGAAAUCUCGGGCUUAACUCCGAAACUGCAUUCGAUACUGCGGUGCUUGAGGACUGGAGAGGAGACUGGAAUUACGGUGUAGCAGUGAAAUGCGUAGAGAUCGUAAGGAAGACCAGUGGCGAAGGCGGUCUCUGGACAGU